GGGGAUGUAAAGGUUUCGACGGGGGUGGCUGGAGUAUGGAUAGCGAGCCGGGGGUUCACCUAGCCCCGUCAGUAAGGUGAAACUUUUAUUUAAAUAUAAAAGCAAACGAAAACUACGCUUUAGCAGCUUGAUGCUAACCCCUGUUCACUUAGCUCCCGCCUGAGGGAAUAAGGGGCCAAUUGCGGGAUACCUGAUGCCUGACUCCUGGGGGGCUGAAUGGGAAAUUUUUCCAGGAUAGGAUGGACGGCGGUUGUUUGUGUCUGCCCAUAUCUGAAGCUUAAACAUAAACUGCGCUCGGAGAAGUCGGUAUGACAACGCUUUCGGACGGGAGUUCGAUUCUCCCCAUCUCCACCA
rnacentral:tmRNA from 1 species